GACGAACGCUGGCGGCGGGCUUAACACAUGCAAGUCGAACGGAAAGGCCCUGCUUUCGUGUGGUUCUCGAGUGGCGAACGGGUGAGAAACACGUGAGUAACCCGCCCUUGACUUUGGGAUAACUUCAGGAAACUGGGGCUACUGCCGGCUAGGAGCUCCUGCUGCAUGGUGGGGGUCGGAAAGUUUCGGUGGAUGUGGAUGGACUCCGGGCUUACCAGCUUGUUGGGUGGGGAGUGGCUUACCCAGGCAUUGACGGCUAGUCGGCCUGGGAGGGUGAACGGCGACAAUGGGACUACGGUACGGCGCAGACGCGUACGGUAGGCAGCAGGGGGAAGUAUUGCACAGUGGGCGGAAGCCUGUGGCAGAAGUGCCGCGUGCGGGAUGCCGGCCUUCGGGGUAUGAACCGCUUUAGCCUGUGACGAAGCGUUGGUGACGGUAAUGGGAAAAGAAGCACCGGCUAACUACGUG
rnacentral:rRNA from 1 species